rnacentral:rRNA from 1 species
AUUGAACGCUGGCGGCAGGCCUAACACAUGCAAGUCGAACGGUAACGGGAGGCAGCUUGCUGCUUUGCUGACGAGUGGCGGACGGGUGAGUAAUGUCUGGGAAACUGCCCGAUGGAGGGGGAUAACUACUGGAAACGGUAGCUAAUACCGCAUAACGUCGCAAGACCAAAGAGGGGGACCUUAGGGCCUCUUGCCAUCGGAUGUGCCCAGAUGGGAUUAGCUAGUAGGUGGGGUAACGGCUCACCUAGGCGACGAUCCCUAGCUGGUCUGAGAGGAUGACCAGCCACACUGGAACUGAGACACGGUCCAGACUCCUACGGGAGGCAGCAGUGGGGAAUAUUGCACAAAGGGCGCAAGCCUGAUGCAGCCAUGCCGCGUGUAUGAAGAAGGCCUUCGGGUUGUAAAGUACUUUCAGCGGGGAGGAAGGGAGUAAAGUUAAUACCUUUGCUCAUUGACGUUACCCGCAGAAGAAGCACCGGCUAACUCCGUG